GACGAACGCUGGCGGCAUGCUUAACACAUGCAAGUCGAACGGGCCCGCUCUCUUUUUUGGGGGUGGGUUGAGUGGCGAACGGGUGAGUAUCACGUGAGUAACCUGCCCCCUGCUCCUGGAUAACUGCUUGAAAGGGCGGCUAAUACGGGGUGUGCCGGCUGGUCCGCAUGGGCCUGGUCGGGAUAGUUUCAUCUUCGGGUGUUUCGGUGGGGGAUGGGCUCGCGGCCUAUCAGCUUGUUGGUGGGGUGAUGGCCCACCAAGGCGGUGACGGGUAGCCGGCCUGAGAGGGUGGGCGGCCACACUGGGACUGAGACACGGCCCAGACUCCUGCGGGAGGCAGCAGUGGGGGGUAUUGCACAAUGGGCGGAAGCCUGAUGCAGCGACGUCGCGUGAGGGAUGGAGGCCUUCGGGUUGUGAACCUCUUUCUCCGGUGGUGAAGGCCCUGUCCGUUGCGGCGGGGUUGACGGUAGCCGGGUAUGAAGCGCCGGCUAACUACGU
rnacentral:rRNA from 1 species